UGAGGAAUAUUGGUCAAUGGGCGAGAGCCUGAACCAGCCAAGUAGCGUGCAGGAUGACGGCCCUAUGGGUUGUAAACUGCUUUUAUGUGGGGAUAAAGUGCGUGACGUGUCAUGCAUUGCAGGUACCACAUGAAUAAGGACCGGCUAAUUCCGUGCCAGCAGCCGCGGUAAUACGGAAGGUACGGGCGUUAUCCGGAUUUAUUGGGUUUAAAGGGAGCGUAGGCUGUCUAUUAAGCGUGUUGUGAAAUAUACCGGCUCAACCGGUGGCUUGCAGGGCGAACAGGUGGACUUGAGUAUGCAGGAAGUAGGCAGAAUUCAUGGUGUAGAGGUGAAAUGCUUAGAUAUCAUGACGAACACCGAUAGCGCAGGAAGCUUACUGUAGCAUAACUGACGCUGAUGCUCGAAAGUGCGGGUAUCAAACAGG
rnacentral:rRNA from 1 species